CCUACGGGGGGCAGCAGUGGGGAAUAUUGGACAAUGGGCGAAAGCCUGAUCCAGCCAUGCCGCGUGUGUGAAGAAGGCCUUCGGGUUGUAAAGCACUUUCAGUGGGGAAGAAAGCCUUGGGGCUAAUACCCUCGAGGAAGGACAUCACCCACAGAAGAAGCACCGGCUAACCCCGUGCCAGCAGCCGCGGUAAUACGGAGGGUGCGAGCGUUAAUCGGAAUUACUGGGCGUAAAGCGCGCGUAGGCGGUCUGAUAAGCCGGUUGUGAAAGCCCCGGGCUCAACCUGGGAACGGCAUCCGGAACUGUCAGGCUAGAGUGCAGGAGAGGAAGGUAGAAUUCCCGGUGUAGCGGUGAAAUGCGUAGAGAUCGGGAGGAAUACCAGUGGCGAAGGCGGCCUUCUGGACUGACACUGACGCUGAGGUGCGAAAGCGUGGGUAGCAAACAGGAUUAGAUACCCUGGUAGUC
rnacentral:rRNA from 1 species